GUCCAGGUGGCGCAACAUGGAGAGCUGCAGGUUGUUGGCCUGCAGGCCAAGGGUUCAAGUCCCGGCAUGGGACA